rnacentral:rRNA from 1 species
UACGUAGGGGGCUAGCGUUGUCCGGAAUCAUUGGGCGUAAAGCGCGUGUAGGCGGUCCGGUAAGUCCGCUGUGAAAGUCGAGGGCUCAACCCUCGAAUGCCGGUGGAUACUGUCGGGCUUGAGUACGGGAGAGGCGAGUGGAAUUCCUGGUGUAGCGGUGAAAUGCGUAGAGAUCGGGAAGAACAUCGGUGGCGAAGGCGCUCUACCGGACCACCACUGACACUCAGGGACGAAAGCUAGGGGAGCGAAUGGG